GAAGAUUGAUGACAUUGUUACUGUGAGGUAGGGUGAUGUCAUGUGAAACUGCAGAAAAUUAGAAGUGUUUUGUCUUAUCUUUGGUUUUGACUUGUGUGUUUCAAGAUUUAAUGGUCCUCUGGUUCUUCUCUAUUUCGGAUUAUAUGCUGAAUUUUCAUUUUUGCUUAGCUAAUUUUUUACUUGUGGGGUUUUCCGUUUUACUCGAAUACUAAGUUUUGAGUGCACGACUCUUCUUCAUUUUUAUUGGUUGACAUGGUGCAAUAUGUAACAUGUGGAUCACUAUCAGUCUAUUAAUAUUUUAGUCAGAU
rnacentral:misc_RNA from 1 species